rnacentral:lncRNA from 13 species
GUCCCUCUAAUGCUUAUUGAUUUUUAAGAUCUUCUCAGGCAUGAAAACAAGAUUCACUGCAAGUAUCCCAACAUUGGAUUCCUGUUAACUGCAAGAGCAGCUUAUUGAUCAGCAUGGGAUGUCCAGCAGGGCAGGAGCAGACCUGUGUCUGCCCCACCAGUGAAUCAACCCUAGUUCAGCCCUAAGAGAUGGAGCUCAGGCUGGAGAGAGAUCCCUCACCCCUUCCACUGUGAGGACAUAGCAGGAAGGCAUCAUCUACAAGCCAGAAAGUGGGCCCUCAAUAGACACCGAAUCUGCCCGUGCAUUGAUCUAGGACUUCCCAGCCUCCAGAACGGUAAGAAAUGAAUUUCUGUUGUCUAUAUGCUAUUCAGUUUAUGGUGUUUUGUUAAAGCAGUUUAAUGGACUAAGUCAUAUAUGAAUUAUAUUUCAAUGAAGCUGUGAGGACUGACUGAAUCACAUAAGGUGUGUAGAAA